GCCUUCGUAGUGUAGUGUUCAGCACGCUGGACGCCUAUUCCAGCGGUCCAGGGUUCGAUUCCCGGCGAGGGCG